GACGAACGCUGGCGGCGUGCUUAACACAUGCAAGUCGAACGGAAAGGCCCUGCUUUUGUGGGGUGCUCGAGUGGCGAACGGGUGAGUAAGACGUGUGUAACCUGCCCUUGACUUUGGGAUAACUUCAGGAAACUGGGGCUAAUCUCGGAUAGGAGCUCCUGCUGCAUGGUGGGGGUUGGAACGUUUCGGCGGGUGGGGAUGGACUCGCGGCUUAUCAGCUUGUUGGUGGGGUAGUGGCUUACCAAGGCUUUGACGGGUAGCCGGCCUGAGAGGGUGACCGGCCACAAGAGGACUGAGAGACGGCCCAGACUCCUACGGUAGGCAGCAGUGGGGAAUAUUGCACAGUGGGCGGAAGCCUGAUGCAGCAACGCCGCGUGCGUGAUGACGGCCUUCGGGUUGUAAACCGCUUUCGCCUGUGACGAAGCGUUAGUGACGGUAAUGGGUAAAGAAGCACCGGCUAACUACGUG
rnacentral:rRNA from 1 species